rnacentral:rRNA from 1 species
UACGUAGGGCGCAAGCGUUGUCCGGAAUUAUUGGGCGUAAAGAGCUCGUAGGCGGUUUGUCACGUCGGCUGUGAAAACCCGAGGCUCAACCUCGGGCCUGCAGUCGAUACGGGCAGACUAGAGUGCUGUAGGGGAGACUGGAAUUCCUGGUGUAACGGUGAAAUGCGCAGAUAUCAGGAGGAACACCGGUGGCGAAGGCGGGUCUCUGGGCAGUAACUGACGCUGAGGAGCGAAAGCGUGGGGAGCAAACAGG